rnacentral:tRNA from 1 species
GGGUUGGUAGCUCAGUGGAUCAGAGUUCAUGGUCCCAUACCAUAUGAAGUGAAAGGUUCAAAUCCCUUCUAGCCCA